GACGAACGCUGGCGGCGUGCCUAACACAUGCAAGUCGAGCGGAGAUAGGCGGAAGGUAACUGAAGCUUAUCUUAGCGGCGGACGGGUGAGUAACACGUGGGCAACCUGCCUUGAAGUGGGGGAUAACACCGGGAAAUCGGUGCUAAUACCGCAUAACAUACACAAACUGCAUGGUGAGUGUAUCAAAGGAGCAAUCCGCUUUAAGAUGGGCCCGCGGCUGAUUAGCUAGUUGGUGGGGUAACGGCCUACCAAGGCGACGAUCAGUAGCCGGCCUGAGAGGGUGGACGGCCACACUGGGACUGAGACACGGCCCAGACUCCUACGGGAGGCAGCAGUGGGGAAUAUUGCGCAAUGGGGGGAACCCUGACGCAGCGACGCCGCGUGAGCGAAGAAGGCCUUAGGGUGUAAAGCUCUGUUUUAAGGGACGAAAGCCUGGAGCAAUAACACGGCUUUAGGAUGACGGUACCUUAAGAGGAAGCCCCGGUAACUACGUGCCAGCAGCCGCGGU
rnacentral:rRNA from 1 species